rnacentral:rRNA from 1 species
UACGUAGGUGGCAAGCGUUGUCCGGAUUUACUGGGCGUAAAGGAUGCGUAGGCGGACUUUUAAGUGGGAUGUGAAAUUCCGAGGCUCAACCUCGGCGCUGCAUUCCAAACUGAAAGUCUAGAGUGCGGGAGAGGAAAGUGGAAUUCCUAGUGUAGCGGUGAAAUGCGUAGAGAUUAGGAAGAACACCAGUGGCGAAGGCGACUUUCUGGACCGUAACUGACGCUGAUGCAUGAAAGCGUGGGGAGCAAACAGG